rnacentral:lncRNA from 1 species
CACCCUUUAAUUAAAAAGUAACUCACAUAAACCACAAACACAUUUCAGAAUUGAAUACCGUAAAUAAAGAAACAAUAAAACUGAAUACUGAAAAGAAAGAAACAAUGAAAUUGAAUCUUCCAUUUUAUUCAUAGCUUUAAUAUGAUAUAAGAUGGUUGAUGUAGAUGGGAAUUUAAUUUUGAAUCAUAAUUUUGCGAGACUUUAGGCCUGGGCUUGGGCUUGGGCUUGGACUUUGGAAACAACAAAAUUGUACCAUUUUGGUGCAACAUAUUUUUUGUGGUUGAAAUACAGCAUGAUUAGGAUAUUGUGAAAAACUUUGCAAAUCUUGAGUGGUUUCCCCCAAAGUACUCACAAUUGCAAGGAACAAUGUCACUAACUUCAACAUCAUCUUCAAUGAAGUUGCCAUUAAGACUUUGCAAAGUUUAAAAAAAAAUGAAAAUGAUAUUCUUCACCGG